AUACAUGCAAGUCGAACGGUUGGUAGCAAUACCAAUAGUGGCGCACGGGUGCGUAACGCGUAACCAACCUACCCGAAUCUGGGGGAUAGCCCGCCGAAAGGCGGAUUAAUACCGCAUAAAACUGCAGCCUGGCAUCGGGCAACAGUUAAAGAUUUAUUGGAUUCGGAUGGGGUUGCGUGCCAUUAGCUAGUUGGCGGGGUAACGGCCCACCAAGGCGACGAUGGCUAGGGGAGCUGAGAGGCUGGUCCCCCACACGGGCACUGAGAUACGGGCCCGACUCCUACGGGAGGCAGCAGUAGGGAAUAUUGGGCAAUGGACGCGAGUCUGACCCAGCCAUGCCGCGUGCAGGAUGAAGGCUUUCUGAGUCGUAAACUGCUUUUACCAGGGAAGAAAAAAGGGGAUGCGUCCUCUACUGACGGUACCUGGUGAAUAAGCACCGGCUAACUCCGUGCCAGCAGCCGCGGUAAUACGGAGGGUGCAAGCGUUGUCCGGAUUUAUUGGGUUUAAAGGGUGCGUAGGCGGCUGAUUAAGUCUGGGGUGAAAGCCCGUUGCUCAACAACGGAACUGCCCUGGAAACUGGUUAGCUUGAGUACAGACGAGGGUGGCGGAAUGGAUACUGUAGCGGUGAAAUGCAUAGAUAGUAUCCAGAACCCCGAUUGC
rnacentral:rRNA from 1 species